rnacentral:rRNA from 1 species
GCCUACCAAGGCUACGAUCAGUAGGGGUUCUGAGAGGAUUAACCCCCACACUGGUACUGAGACACGGACCAGACUCCUACGGGAGGCAGCAGUGAGGAAUAUUGGUCAAUGGGCGGAAGCCUGAACCAGCCAUCCCGCGUGAAGGAAGACAGCCUUACGGGUUGUAAACUUCUUUUCUGUCAGAAGAAUAAGCUUGUCGAGACGAGUGAUGCCGGUAUGACAGGAAUAAGCAUCGGCUAACUCCGUGCCAGCAGCCGCGGUAAUACGGAGGAUGCAAGCGUUAUCCGGAUUUAUUGGGUUUAAAGGGUGCGCAGGUUGUUUGAUAAGUCAGUGGUGAAAGUCUGUCGCUUAACGGUAGGAUUGCCAUUGAUACUGUUGGACUUGAAUACGGAUGAGGUAGGCGGAAUGUGUAGUGUAGCGGUGAAAUGCAUAGAUAUUACACAGAACACCGAUUGCGAAGGCAGCUUACUAAUCCAUCAUUGACGCUGAGGCACGAAAGCGUGGGGAUCAAACAGGAUUAGAUACCCUGGUAGUCCACGCCGUAAACGAUGAUCACUCGCUGUUUGCGAUAUACAGUAAGCGGCUAAGCGAAAGC